rnacentral:rRNA from 1 species
ACACAUGCAAGUCGAGGGGAAACGACAUCGAAAGCUUGCUUUUGAUGGGCGUCGACCGGCGCACGGGUGAGUAACGCGUAUCCAACCUGCCCACCACUUGGGGAUAACCUUGCGAAAGUAAGACUAAUACCCAAUGAUAUCUCUAGAAGACAUCUGAAAGAGAUUAAAGAUUUAUCGGUGAUGGAUGGGGAUGCGUCUGAUUAGCUUGUUGGCGGGGUAACGGCCCACCAAGGCGACGAUCAGUAGGGGUUCUGAGAGGAAGGUCCCCCACAUUGGAACUGAGACACGGUCCAAACUCCUACGGGAGGCAGCAGUGAGGAAUAUUGGUCAAUGGACGAGAGUCUGAACCAGCCAAGUAGCGUGCAGGAAGACGGCCCUAUGGGUUGUAAACUGCUUUUAUAAGGGAAUAAAGUGAGUCUCGUGAGACUUUUUGCAUGUACCUUAUGAAUAAGGACCGGCUAAUUCCGUGCCAGCAGCCGCGGUAAUACGGAAGGUCCGGGCGUUAUCCGGAUUUAUUGGGUUUAAAGGGAGCGUAGGCCGGAGAUUAAGCGUGUUGUGAAAUGUAGACGCUCAACGUCUGCACUGCAGCGCGAACUGGUCUUCUUGAGUACGCACAACGUGGGCGGAAUUCGUGGUGUAGCGGUGAAAUGCUUAGAUAUCACGAAGAACUCCGAUUGCGAAGGCAGCUCACGGGAGCGCAACUGACGCUGAAGCUCGAAAGUGCGGGUAUCGAACAGGAUUAGAUACCCUGGUAGUCCACACGGUAAACGAUGGAUGCCCGCUGUUGGCCUGAAUAGGUCAGCGGCCAAGCGAAAGCAUUAAGCAUCCCACCUGGGGAGUACGCCGGCAACGGUGAAACUCAAAGGAAUUGACGGGGGCCCGCACAAGCGGAGGAACAUGUGGUUUAAUUCGAUGAUACGCGAGGAACCUUACCC